GAGUUUGAUCCUGGCUCAGAACGAACGCUGGCGGCGUGGAUAAGACAUGCAAGUCGAGCGCUGAUUACGGGGUAGCAAUAUUCCGUAGUCGGAGCGGCGCAAGGGUGCGUAACACGUGGGUAAUCUGCCAUGAAGUCUGGGAUAACUCGCUGAAAGGCGAGCUAAUACCGGAUGUGAAAAUUAGGAGGCAUCUUCCGAUUUUCAAAGCUGGGGACCGUAAGGCCUGGCGCUUCAUGAUGAGCCCGCGGCCUAUCAGCUAGUUGGUGAGGUAACGGCUCACCAAGGCUAAGACGGGUAGCUGGUCUGAGAGGACGACCAGCCACACUGGAACUGAGACACGGUCCAGACACCUACGGGUGGCAGCAGUCGAGAAUUUUUCACAAUGGGGGAAACCCUGAU
rnacentral:rRNA from 1 species